rnacentral:rRNA from 1 species
UGGGGAAUCUUAGACAAUGGGCGCAAGCCUGGUCUAGCCAUGCCGCGUGAGCGAUGAAGGCCUUAGGGUUGUAAAGCUCUUUCAGUGGGGAAGAUAGUGACUGUACCCACAGAAGAAGCCCCGGCUAACUCCGUGCCAGCAGCCGCGGUAAUACGGAGGGGGCGAGCGUUGGUCGGAAUUACUGGGCGUAAAGCGCACGUAGGCGGUCUGGAAAGUCAGGGGUGAAAUCCCGGGGCUCAACCCCGGACCUGCCUUUGAAACUCCCGGUCUAGAGGUCGAGAGAGGGGAGUGGAAUUCCGAGUGUAGAGGUGAAAUGCGUAGAUAUUCGGAGGAACACCAGUGGCGAAGGCGGCUCACUGGCUCGAUACUGACGCUGAGGUGCGAAAGCGUGGGGAGCAAACA